rnacentral:rRNA from 1 species
GACAGAGGGGGCAAGCGUUGCUCGGAAUUACUGGGCGUAAAGGGCGCGUAGGCGGGAUGGCAAGUCGGUCGUGAAAUCCCUCGGCUCAACUGAGGAUCGUCGAUCGAUACUGCCGUUCUUGAGGAUUGCAGAGGAGACUGGAAUUCCCGGUGUAGCGGUGAAAUGCGUAGAUAUCGGGAGGAACAUCAGUGGCGAAGGCGGCUGCCUGGCCCAAUACUGACACUCAGGUGCGACAGCGUGGGGAGCAAACAGG